CUGGCUCAGGAUGAACGCUGGCGGCGUGCCUAAUACAUGCAAGUCGAGCGAAUGGAUUAAGAGCUUGCUCUUAUGAAGUUAGCGGCGGACGGGUGAGUAACACGUGGGUAACCUGCCCAUAAGACUGGGAUAACUCCGGGAAACCGGGGCUAAUACCGGAUAACAUUUUGAACYGCAUGGUUCGAAAUUGAAAGGCGGCUUCGGCUGUCACUUAUGGAUGGACCCGCGUCGCAUUAGCUAGUUGGUGAGGUAACGGCUCACCAAGGCAACGAUGCGUAGCCGACCUGAGAGGGUGAUCGGCCACACUGGGACUGAGACACGGCCCAGACUCCUACGGGAGGCAGCAGUAGGGAAUCUUCCSCAAUGGACGAAARUCUGACGGAGCAACGCCGCGUGAGUGAUGAAGGCUUUCGGGUCGUAAAACUCUGUUGUUAGGGAAGAACAAGUGCUAGUUGAAUAAGCUGGCACCUUGACGGUACCUAACCAGAAAGCC
rnacentral:rRNA from 1 species